ensembl:scaRNA
GGUCGAUGAUGAUUGGUAAAAGGUCUGAUUGCACUCGAUGUCACAGUCCCUUCCCUGCCCUCAACUCCCAGCAGCCCAUGGUGUCCCUCCCAUCACAUUUAAGUCAUGUGUGUGGGGUCAUGGAGCAGCUGAUAGCGUGGGAUUCUGUCAGCGCGUGUUUCUCAGAGUGUGUGGUUCACAGCUGACACGUGUCCAACAGAAGCAGCUGUACAGGAGACUGAGGAGCGGCAGCCCUGGGUGUGAUGGUGCAUGAUCUCAAGUUUUCAAUCUGAGACC